GGGGCCGUAGCUCAGUUGGGAGAGCGCUUGACUGGCAGUCAAGAGGUCAGGAGUUCGAUCCUCCUCGGCUCCACCA
rnacentral:tRNA from 2 species